GUCUUUUUGAGUUAUUUUUAAAGUCUGACCUGCCCACUGAAUUUUUAAAUGGCCGCAGUAUUCUAACUGUGCAAAGGUAGCAUAAUCAUUAGUCUUUUAAUUGAAGGCUGGUAUGAACGGUUGGACGAGGUAUAAGCUGUUUCAUGUAAAUUUGCAAUAGAAUUUUAUAUUUUAGUUAAAAAGCUAAAAUGAGGUUAAAAGACGAGAAGACCCUAUAAAUCUUUAUAUUUUAUAUAGUUUAAAUUUUUUUGAUUUUUUUUAUUUUUAUUAUACGGAGUAUUUUGUUGGGGUGAUGUUAAAAUUUGAUUAACUUUUAAUUUAUUUUAAAUCAUUAAUUUAUGAUUUAUUGAUCCGUUAAUAGUGAUUAUAAGAUUAAGUUACUUUAGGGAUAACAGCGUAAUUUUUUUGGAGAGUUCAUAUCGAUAAAAAAGUUUGCGACCUCGAUGUUGGAUUAAGAUAUAGUUUUAGGUGUAGCUGCUUAAAGGUUAAGUCUGUUCGACUUUUAAAUUCUU
rnacentral:rRNA from 1 species